rnacentral:lncRNA from 1 species
GGCUGGAGUUGCAUGGGCUCUGCCUGCUAGCACUUGCGCAGGGUUUGUGUGUCUGUGUGGGAGAUGUGUGCCCACGUCAUGUGGACGGGGGAGAUACAGCAAUAGCAGACAAUCCCCCCCAUCCCCGUGAGGCUUCAGCACGCUGGAGUGAGGGUGCCCUGGCACACCGUGAUUGAGAAUCACUGACAUGGCCAUGCUCAGCAGAGCCCUUUCUGCAAGCAUUGGCCCAAGAGAACUGAGUUCCUUUCCUUGCUCCAUCACUGGAGUUCUGUGCUUCUACCUGCUUCCCUGCAAGAUAGGGGAAACUCCUCUCCGUUCUCUGGCCAGGAUCAGUUUUCAGUGGCAUCAGAGUCUGCCAGGCAACACGGUGAACUGAUCAACUAUGAGAUCAUUCUAAGUCAUGACAUGUUGGAUUCUUGCCAAAAUUAUCUGGUAAAAUGUGGGUGUUGGGUAGAAAAUUGCUUCAGUUUCUCUCUUCACUUUAUGUGAAGCCUGAAGGUUUUAAAGUCAUCCCUUAAUAACCUAGACAAAUAACUAAUUUGGAUCCUCCAGAGACAUGACAUAUGUGGCUUUUUGGACACAGACGUAUGAAUUUCAUACAAUGCCUAUGUGCGAUAGUACAAACGACAGCAUACUUCUGUAUGCAUAACAUGGUUGAUUAAUAGCUGAAAUAUACAGCCUUAUGGUAUCUGUGAAGCAGCUUUAUUUUUCCAGGUGAAAAAAAGCUCAUCAGAAAGAAAAAAAAAUUUCCUUUAGGAUUAUUCCCUAAGCAGCCAAGGUCCAGUUAUGGGAGAAGCAGGGUAACCCAGCAGCACAUUCACUGAAAUAAUACAGGCCUUAGAAUACAUACUCCAAUAUUGGGUUACCACUUUAUACACACUUAAAAGGUCCUGAAUUUAAUUCAGUAUGUGACUCAACUUCCUUUAAAACCAUCUGCCCCUCCCGAAGUCCCCACCUCUUUCAGUGGAGCCACGACCCCACCACCCAUCGACAUAAACUGGAAAACUUUAUCCUCCAUGCUGGUAAAUUCCUUUCUGUCAGAGGGGAUUUUGUACGUGGAAAGAUAGUCACCACUAAGUGUAAGUCAUUUAAUGUCCAACUGACUGAUCUCACAAAUGUAUCGAUUAGAGCAUUCUUUUAACCACUAAACAGUCAACAUCUCCCUUGUUAAUCACAUGCUACUUAAACAACAAAUGAGUCAAUAGUUAGGAAUUUACCCCCCAAAUUUCCCCAAUUAUGAAAAGACAUUACAAAUAACCCUUGUAAGAAUUAAAAUCUCAAGUCUGACACAGAAGCUUUCUUAAAAGUUCUAAAAGGAUCCACAAAAUAUAACUCUCUCUCUAUAUAUAUAUCUUUACAUCAAAACUGGUUGCAAAAUGUGAAUAUCACAGAUUUAACGUGUCUGUAUUUUACAACAUGCUCAUUCUCACACCUUCUCAGCGCUCCAGUUUUAACCUACCGUUCUAGGGUUUCAAUAACUCACCCAGUAAAGUUUUUACACCUCCCUAGGUUUAAGGAUCGUAUCAUGCCCUCGCCCCCUCCAAAAGAGAACGCAAUUUCUGAUCAGCAGACUGAAGGUCCAGAGUUGUGAACCCGUGGGUUUGGCCUGGGGACGCGGGACUUGGCUCCGUAGUCUGUCAACUCACACCCGAUCUCCUGGCGUCAGGUUCCUCCCUUUUCAUUCUCAAGGUACGUAUCUUACAUCAGGUGUUGGAUAAAAGUGCUGCUUCUGUUGUUAUUGGGCCAUUUUGUUGUGACAGAGCGAAAAACAGGUAUUUCUUUAAGGUCAUGAAAUCACAUUGAUUUCUCCAAUAUAAUAGAUUGUAUAUAGUAUUUUACUCUCCCUUUCUGAGGUGAUUU